AUACGUAAAUAAAAGCAUGAGCUUCAAAGAAAGCUCAGUUAUUAUUUACGUAUAUCCUCAUCGUGCUCUAGUAACAGCAGCACGUUUAAGGCAAGUACACAUAAAAGCACCAGCUAGAAAGAAGCUAGCUUCUUAUUUACAAACAUCCUGAUUCCACCGCUAAGCACCGGCGGGUUUUAGGGGAAUUGCAUGCUAUAUAGCAUGCAGCCUCAAUGACUGCAAGGAAAUGUAAAAUGCAUAAUAUCAAGCAUACCAGGUAAAAGAGAAAACUCACUAGGUGAUUUUUUUUUUUGUUAUUAUUCUUACUCCAAACCACUGACUAUGAACUUGCACCAAAAACACGGAUCCUCUGUUCGAUAGGAAUGCGGCAGCAUGGACAUGUAGCUUUACCCUUCUUCCCAUGAUUGUCACUGCAACUGGCACACAUAACUUGGUGGGCACAUGGAAGAAAAACAAUAGAGACUUCAUCUUUCAUACAAAUCAUGCAUUCUCUAUCACAGUUAGAUCCCUUAUCUUGUGAAUCCUCCAGGGUAUCUAAUUCAUGAAGCAGCCUAGCAAUUGUUUCUCCUUGGGGCUUUGUCUUCUCAGGCUUUCCUAAGGGUAAAAUAUUUAAUUGGUGAUUCAAAUCAGUGAACUCUGCAGAUAGUUUUAGACGAGAAAACUCCUGCUCAAGUCUUUGGAGAUCAUCCUUGUGGCGUUGGAAGUCUAUCUCUGUCUUGAGGCGCAAAGCCUCAAGCUUCCUUUUAUUAUUGGCCUCAGCAGCUUCCCUGGACCGACGUUCCUCCUCUACCUGGGCAAAAGUUUGCUCUUUUACCUUCACUUCUUGCCUCCACUUUGCCUCAGCUUCCUUCUGAGCCUGCUCAACUAUAGCCAAACAUCUUUGUAACUCCUUGAUCUUCUCUUUCUCUCCUGCAAUCUCAUCUUGCAAUUUAGUUUUCUGUUUCUCCCAAGCCAAAAGCUUCUUCAGACACUUCUUCUCCCUUUUUGCAACCUCCAAACAAGUAGUCACCGACUCUGAUGCACUUAACUUAGAAGCCUCCAUUUCUGCUCUGAUUUCUGCAUUCUCAGUCUCAAGCCGUCUCACAGCUGCAUUUGCCCGGUCCACUUGACCACUUGCCUUCCUCAAAGCAUUUUCCACCUCUGACAGCCUCUUCAUUGUUGAAUCCUCAAGAGUUUGUUUCCCCUUCUUCAAUCUCUGUGUCUCCUCCCUCUCCAUUUUCAAUAUUUUAAGCUCCGUUAAGUCACUACUAAGCUUUCUUGCAGCUUGCAUUGCCUUCUGCUGUGCCCACUCCUUCCGUUCCUUUACUUGUCUCUCUAAAUCCUUAAUCUGAUGAAGCAGGGUCACUAUCAUCUCAUCCUUCUGAUCUUCUCCUGUAAGUUCCAAAUUUUCAUCAAGAUUCAAAUCACCAAACUUACUUAAUUCUGAAAAAAGCCCAUCUUGGAACUUAUUCCACCCUGUACUAGCCCCAUCUUGGUUCUUCAAAUUUUGAGACUCCUCACCCUUGUCGUCCAAAACUUCACUCGCUGUUGCAACCAGUGCCGCAUGUCUUCCUGAAAAAACACCUGAGCAAGACUCAGAUUGAACCUGAGACUGCGUCUGCAUCUGUUUUGAAUUAGCCCUAAAACCUGCAGCAAACAUGGCAACAUUCCUUUUCAAUAAAGACUUCAUUGAAGGUGAUAG
rnacentral:misc_RNA from 1 species